UCCACAGUAAUGGCUGAUGAUGCGAUGAACUUCUUCAAGAGGCUUGACGUGACCGAUUUCACCUUUGAUAGUUGUUGAUUGUGAAGAUGGAGGUGCCGUGCUAAGCUUGCAGUCCGUGGCACAUCAACAAAACCUCUAAUUGGGCCAAAUCAGGAGGGAACUCACAACGUUGUUGGUAUCCCUAAUUGUAGAGGCAUGUUCAAUGAAUUCAUAUAUGUGUUGCGCAAUACAUACAAGCAUGAAAAUACAUAUUUAUUCACACUAGAAAAUAGCUACUCCCUACUUCCUUGUUAAUUUUGCUCUAUCUUUAAUGAAAACACAAGAAGAUUUCUGCUUGCU